rnacentral:rRNA from 1 species
UACGUAGGGGGCAAGCGUUGUUCGGAAUUACUGGGCGUAAAGGGUUCGUAGGUGGCCCGCUAAGUCACACGUGAAAUCCCUCAGCUUAACUGGGGAACUGCGUGUGAGACUGGCAGGCUUGAGUGCAGGAGAGGAACGCGGAAUUCCAGGUGUAGCGGUGAAAUGCGUAGAUAUCUGGAGGAACACCGGUGGCGAAGGCGGCGUUCUGGACUGUAUCUGACACUGAGGAACGAAAGCCAGGGGAGCAAACGGG